CCUACGGGGUGCAGCAGUGGGGAAUAUUGGACAAUGGGCGAAAGCCUGAUCCAGCCAUGCCGCGUGUGUGAAGAAGGCCUUCGGGUUGUAAAGCACUUUCAGUGGGGAAGAAAGCCUUGGGGCUAAUACCCUCGAGGAAGGACAUCACCCACAGAAGAAGCACCGGCUAACUCCGUGCCAGCAGCCGCGGUAAUACGGAGGGUGCGAGCGUUAAUCGGAAUUACUGGGCGUAAAGCGCGCGUAGGCGGUCUGAUAAGCCGGUUGUGAAAGCCCCGGGCUCAACCUGGGAACGGCAUCCGGAACUGUCAGGCUAGAGUGCAGGAGAGGAAGGUAGAAGUCCCGGUGUAGCGGUGAAAUGCGUAGAGAUCGGGAGGAAUACCAGUGGCGAAGGCGGCCUUCUGGACUGACACUGACGCUGAGGUGCGAAAGCGUGGGUAGCAAACAGGAUUAGAUACCCGAGUAGUC
rnacentral:rRNA from 1 species